rnacentral:rRNA from 1 species
AGGACGAACGCUGGCGGCGUGCCUAACACAUGCAAGUCGAACGCGCUCCAUUCGGUAGCAAUACUGAUGAAGAGCGAGUGGCGAACGGGUGAGUAGCACGUGAGCAACCUGCCCCGAAGACCGGGACAACACCGGGAAACCGGUGCUAAUACCGGAUAUCCCUAUCGGACCGCAUGAUCUGAUAAGGAAAUGGAUUCCGCUUCGGGAGGGGCUCGCGGCCUAUCAGCUAGUUGGUGAGGUAACGGCCCACCAAGGCAUCGACGGGUAGCUGGUCUGAGAGGACGAUCAGCCACACUGGGACUGAGACACGGCCCAGACUCCUACGGGAGGCAGCAGUGGGGAAUCUUGCGCAAUGGGCGAAAGCCUGACGCAGCAACGCCGCGUGGAGGACGAAGGCUUUCUGAGUUGUAAACUCCUUUCAGCAGGGACGAUAGUGACGGUACCUGCAGAGAAGCACCGGCCAACUACGCGCCAGCAGCCGA